rnacentral:rRNA from 1 species
CCUACGGGAGGCAGCAGUGAGGAAUAUUGGUCAAUGGACGAGAGUCUGAACCAGCCAAGUAGCGUGAAGGAUGACUGCCCUAUGGGUUGUAAACUUCUUUUAUAUGGGAAUAAAACGUUCCACGUGUGGGAUUUUGUAUGUACCAUAUGAAUAAGGAUCGGCUAACUCCGUGCCAGCAGCCGCGGUAAUACGGAGGAUCCGAGCGUUAUCCGGAUUUAUUGGGUUUAAAGGGAGCGUAGGUGGAUUGUUAAGUCAGUUGUGAAAGUUUGCGGCUCAACCGUAGAAUUGCAGUUGAAACUGGCAGUCUUGAGUACAGUAGAGGUGGGCGGAAUUCGUGGUGUAGCGGUGAAAUGCUUAGAUAUCACGAAGAACUCCGAUUGCGAAGGCAGUUCACUGGACUGCAACUGACACUGAGGCUCGAAAGUGUGGGUAUCAAACAGGAUUAGAUACCCGUGUAGUC